rnacentral:rRNA from 1 species
UACGUAGGGUGCAAGCGUUAAUCGGAAUACUGGGCGUAAAGCGUGCGCAGGCGGCUUUGCAAGACAGAUGUGAAAUCCCCGGGCUCAACCUGGGAACUGCAUUUGUGACUGCAUGGCUAGAGUACGGUAGAGGGGAUGGAAUUCCGCGUGUAGCAGUGAAAUGCGUAGAUAUGCGGAGGAACACCGAUGGCGAAGGCAAUCCCCUGGACCUGUACUGACGCUCAUGCACGAAAGCGUGGGGAGCAACAGG